rnacentral:rRNA from 1 species
UACAGAGGAGCCAAGCGUUGUCCGGAUUGACUGGGCGUAAAGCGCACGCAGGCGGACGCGCGCGUGGGGUGUGAAAUCUGGCCGCUUAACGGCCAGGCGCCAUCCCAUACGGCACGUCUGGAGCUAUGCAGAGGUCGGUGGAAUUGCCGGUGUAGUGGUGAAAUGCGUAGAGAUCGGCAGGAACACCCAGGGGGAAACCAGCGGACUGGGCAUCAGCUGACGCUCAGGUGCGACAGCGUGGGGAGCGAACCGG